AUUGAACGCUGGCGGCAGGCUUAACACAUGCAAGUCGAGCGAGCGGCGGACGGGUGAGUAAUGUCUGGGAAACUGCCUGAUGGAGGGGGAUAACUACUGGAAACGGUAGCUAAUACCGCAUACCCUCAGAUGUGCCCAGAUGGGAUUAGCUAGUAGGUGGGGUAAUGGCUCACCUAUGCGACGAUCCCUAGCUGGUCUGAGAGGAUGACAAGCCACACGGGAACUGGGACACGGUCCAGACUCCGACGGGAGGCAGCAGUGGGGAAUAUUGCACAAUGGGCGCAAGCCGGAUGCAGCCAUGCCGGGUGUGUGAAGAAGGCCUUCGGGUUGUAAAGCACUUUCAGCGAGGAGGCGUUACUCGCCGAAGAAGCACCGGCUAACACCGUGCCAGCAGCCGCGGUAAUAC
rnacentral:rRNA from 1 species